rnacentral:misc_RNA from 1 species
UUGUCCAAAACUGAAGGUCUUUUCUAUUUAUUGGAAUGUGAGGGUGACAGAUGUUGGCAUAAAUCAUUUGGUGGAGAAUUGCAAACAUGUAGUUGAUUUGAACUUGAGUGGCUGUAAGAAUAUAUCAGACAAAAGUUUGCAAUUGGUUGCUGACAACUAUCAAGACUUAGAGUCAUUGAAUCUGACUAGGUGCAUCAAGCUAACAGAUGGCGGUUUGCAACAAAUAUUGGUCAAGUGCUCCUCUCUCCAGAGUUUAAAUCUUUAUGCCCUUUCCACUUUCACUGACAAAGCUUACAAGAAAAUAUCAAAUCUAGCCCAUCUACAAUUUUUAGAUUUAUGUGGUGCCCAGAAUCUCUCUGAUGACGGACUUUCUUGUAUAGCUAAAUGCAAAAAUCUUGUCUCACUAAAUUUGACAUGGUGUGUUCAAGUCACUGAUGUGGGGGUUAUAGCAAUUGCUGAAGGUUGCACCUCUCUUGAGUUUCUUAGCUUGUUUGGAAUUGUUGGUGUGACUGACAAGUGCCUGGAGGCACUUUCAAAGUUCUGCUCAACUACAAUUACAACCCUUGAUGUAAAUGGAUGCAUUGGCAUACAGAAACGGAGCCGGGAAGAAUUGCUUCAGUUGUUUCCUCAUCUGAAGUGUUUCAAAGUACACAGCUGAUACUCUGGAAAUUUGCAUG